rnacentral:misc_RNA from 1 species
AACGCACGAGACCUGCGGACCUGCGGAGGGAUCAUUAAUGAGUUGCAAAACUCCCUAAACCAUUGUGAACCUACCUGUACCGUUCCUUCGGCGGGCGGCGUCAAGCCCUAACCCGUCUCCCUUUACGGGGGAUGGACCCGCCGGAGGCUCCUAAACUCUUAACUUUUGUUGGCAUCUCUGAGUAAAUCAAAAUAAGUCAAAACUUUCAACAACGGAUCUCU